UAAUUUCUGUUUCAUAGUCUUGUUCAUUGGUCUGUAAGAUUUGAUUGUUGUCCUUCAUCUCUAGAGAAAAGUCCAGAGAUUUGCUAAGCCGUAUUUACAACAGGGCAGAAUAUGGUUCAGCAUAAUCCUUUAUAAUGUAUGAGGAUUCACGUUUAAUAUUUGCCUCUAAUGUUUUUAAGGUGCUGUAACUUUUGAGCUACUGGUUAUUUGGCUGUGCUGCUGACUUGGUGAAACCCAGAUGUGACUCCGCAGUACCACAGAAAUCAACAAACACAAACACGUACCAGACUGCCAGAUCAAGUGACUAGAUCACUGAUCGCAUUUUAUAUUCAAGAUUUGUAAGUGUCCGUGUGAUUAUAUUUACUUUCUUUCUUUCUUUCUUUUUGAAGAUGAAGACUAAAUGUUUCAAAAGAUUUUAAAAAUAAAAUAGUCAUGAUGUGCUGUGCAAAACAUCCCUUACAUCAAAAUAUAGCAUUCCAUUGAGCCUAGCUGUUUAAUGCAUGUGAUCUUAAGUUUCAACUGGUAUGUAAUAGUUCAUAGUUAUAUUAAAUAAAGUACUAUUUUAAACAUAUAUUUAAAUGAUAAUUGUCUCAAUUGUACUGAAAGGCACAUAUAACCAGACCGCGCUCUCAUUUCCAGCGUGCAGUGUUGUUAAUAAAAAUUAUGUGUAAUUUUUCAUAUUUUCAGGACCUUUGCUUUCAUUUUUUCUCUUUUUUUUAUGUGCGAUCCGCUGUAUCUUUCUUUAAGCUCUCUAAAUGAGUGUCUACAAAUAUGUUGUAGAAAGGUAAACCUGAUAAUCACUAAUAAAAUAUGUUAAUGAGAAA